rnacentral:tRNA from 1 species
GCCUUCGUGGUUUAACGGUCAGCACGUUCGUCUCGUAUUCUAGUGAUCCUAGGUUCGAGUCCUUGCGAGGAUA